AGGACGAACGCUGGCGGCGUGCUUAACACAUGCAAGUCGAGCGGAAAGGCCCUUCGGGGUACUCGAGCGGCGAACGGGUGAGUAACACGUGAGUAAUCUGCCCCUAGCUCUGGGAUAGCUCCGGGAAACCGGGAUUAAUACCAGAUACGACCACUUUAGACAUCUGUUGUGGUGGAAAGAAUUUCGGCUAGGGAUGAGCUCGCGGCCUAUCAGCUUGUUGGUGAGGUAACGGCUCACCAAGGCGACGACGGGUAGCCGGCCUGAGAGGGCGACCGGCCACACUGGGACUGAGACACGGCCCAGACUCCUACGGGAGGCAGCAGUGGGGAAUAUUGCGCAAUGGGCGAAAGCCUGACGCAGCGACGCCGCGUGGGGGAUGAAGGCCUUCGGGUUGUAAACCCCUUUCAGCAGGGACGAAGCGAAAGUGACGGUACCUGCAGAAGAAGCGCCGGCUAACUACGUGCCAGCAGCCGC
rnacentral:rRNA from 1 species